UGAGUAACCUGCCCUUAACUCUGGGAUAAGCCUGGGAAACUGGGUCUAAUACCGGAUAUGACUCCUCAUCGCAUGGUGGGGGGUGGAAAGCUUUAUUGUGGUUUUGGAUGGACUCGCGGCCUAUCAGCUUGUUGGUGAGGUAAUGGCUCACCAAGGCGACGACGGGUAGCCGGCCUGAGAGGGUGACCGACCACACUGGGACUGAGACACGGCCCAGACUCCUACGGGAGCAG
rnacentral:rRNA from 1 species